rnacentral:rRNA from 1 species
GACGAACGCUGGCGGCGUGCUUAACACAUGCAAGUCGAACGGAAAGGCCCUGCUUGCAGGGUACUCGAGUGGCGAACGGGUGAGUAACACGUGGGUGAUCUGCCCUGCACUUCGGGAUAAGCUUGGGAAACUGGGUCUAAUACCGGAUAGGAACCAUCUUUCGUGUGGUGGUUGGAAAGUUUUUUCGGUGUAGGAUGAGCUCGCGGCCUAUCAGCUUGUUGGUGGGGUAAUGGCCUACCAAGGCGGCGACGGGUAGCCGGCCUGAGAGGGUGUACGGCCACAUUGGGACUGAGAUACGGCCCAGACUCCUACGGGAGGCAGCAGUGGGGAAUAUUGCACAAUGGGCGCAAGCCUGAUGCAGCGACGCCGCGUGGGGGAUGAAGGCCUUCGGGUUGUAAACUCCUUUCGCUAGGGACGAAGCUUUGUUGUGACGGUACCUAGAUAAGAAGCACCGGCUAACUACGUG